UACGAAGGGGGCUAGCGUUGCUCGGAAUCACUGGGCGUAAAGCGCACGUAGGCGGAUUGCUAAGUCAGGGGUGAAAUCCUGGAGCUCAACUCCAGAACUGCCUUUGAUACUGGCGAUCUCGAGUCCGGGAGAGGUGAGUGGAACUGCGGGUGUAGAGGUGAAAUUCGUAGAUAUUCGCAAGAACACCAGUGGCGAAGGCGGCUCACUGGCCCGGUACUGACGCUGAGGUGCGAAAGCGUGGGGAGCAAACAGG
rnacentral:rRNA from 1 species